CGUGGAACAGGUAAACACACGAGGAAGCAUCGAGGCUGUGGAGGUUUAUGAAGGUGUCGGAGUUCCUCACAACAUCGACUGAAUUUCGAAGUGUUCACAGCAAUAUUUCUGCUAAAAAUGAUGUGAGCAAAAGUGAGGAGGCCCCAGCAAGCACGUCUUCAGGAUCAUCCAGCACCAGCCGUGACAAGGUCCAAUCUAAACAAAAGAAAACAGUCCGAGACAAACCUCUGGAGAAGUACCUCUUAUUAAAAGAUGCUAAAGGGAAAAAAUUAAAAGCAGUGCACAGAAGAAAGAGGAGCACAGGAGGAGCGCUCUGCCAGUUUUUGGUCACACCUAUAGAUGUUUAUUAUAUAUCAUUUUAUUUAGUUUUUUUUUAUGUUUAUACAUUCAAGAAAUACAGUUGAACAUGUACAUUUCAUACAUAUGUUUAUUUGCACUACAGUUCACUUAGACUUCUAUCAUUGUGACUUUUUUGCUCUACAGCUCUGCCAGUUCUUGUUCACACAAAUUAAUGUUUAUUAUAUACCAAUUUACUUAUGUAUUUUAAGUGAUUAUACAUUUAAGAAAUUCAUUUGAAAAUUUCUAAUUUCUAAAUGUUGAUUUGCACUACCGUUCAGUUGCACUAAAGUCAUUGUGACUUUUCUGGACCAACAUUUCUGACUCCUGUUUUAUUUGAUUUUACUGUCAUGUCUCUGAUUGUUAUUGCAAACUGCAGUUCAUUCACAAAAAUAAAUGUUUGAUUAAAAAACGAA